GGCAUGAUGUCCGAGUGGUUAAGGAGUAUGACUUGAAUCUUUUAAGUGAUCAUAUGCGAUUUUCGCGCGCAGGUUCGAAUCCUGCUCAUGUCG